rnacentral:snRNA from 1 species
GAGUAUAAAGGUGAUGUGGCUGCAACUUAGGUCAUUCCCCUUGAUCACUAGGAGUGAUGUGGCCAGCUAAGGAGUGUCUCUUUUCCUCCCUCACAGUUCCAAGUAUAUCCUUCCUGAAGCUGUGUGCUUUGUUAAAGAGGAUGGCCUUCCCUGAAGAGAGGAACACCAGUCUUCAAUUAAAGGUAUAUGAGUAACUACGCUCCCAUGUUAUAACAUCCAAGCAAACUCUCAAAGGUAUGUUCAAGAGUACCUCAAAGACUAUAAGAGUGGUUCAUGAAAUAUUCUGUACUAAGAAUCUACGCCUU